AUGCCGGCAGUGAUGAAAGCUCUCGCCGCCGCCUCGCCGGUCUCGGCGCCGCCAUCGCCCCGUCGGAGCGUCGCAGGCUCGUCAGGUCCCCCGUGCCAAAGCCUGCACUCCUCAUUCCGCGGCAUCUCCCUGCGGUGCCGUCCGAGGAAACCGGUCCACCGCUCGCCACCGCUACGCAGCUCCCGGGCAGCAGCGCAGGUGGUGGCCAUGAAGCCGGCGAUCCAGUUCAUCCAGGGCACGGACGAGCAGACGAUCCCGGACGUGCGGCUGACCAAGUCCCGCGACGGCACCAACGGGGUGGCCAUCUUCGAGUUCGACCAGCCGUCGGUGUUCGACUCGUCGGCGGAGCUCGGGGACAUCACGGGGUUCUACAUGAUCGACGAGGAGGGCAUGCUGCAGACGGUGGACGUGAGCGCCAAGUUCGUCAACGGGAAGCCGGCGAGGGUGGAGGCCAAGUACGUCAUGCGCACGGCCGGGGACUGGGACAGGUUCAUGAGGUUCAUGGAGAGGUACUCGCAGGCCAACGGCCUCCAGUUCGUCAAGAACUAA
rnacentral:rRNA from 1 species